rnacentral:rRNA from 1 species
CGGCGGACGGGUGAGUAACACGUGGAUAACCUACCUAUAAGACUGGGAUAACUUCGGGAAACCGGAGCUAAUACCGGAUAAUAUUUUGAACCGCAUGGUUCAAAAGUAAAAGACGGUCUUGCUGUCACUUAUAGAUGGAUCCGCGCUGCAUUAGCUAGUUGGUAAGGUAACGGCUUACCAAGGCAACGAUGCAUAGCCGACCUUAGAGGGUGAUCGGCCACACUGGAACUGAGACACGGUCCAG